rnacentral:rRNA from 1 species
AGAGUUUGAUCAUGGCUCAGAACGUACGCUGGCGGCACGCCUAAUACAUGCAAGUCGAACGAAGUAGCAAUACUUAGUGGCAGACGGGUGAGUAACAUGUAGGUAUCUUCCCUUUGGUGAGGAAUAACACGAGGAAACUUGUGCUAAUACCUCAUAAGUCUUUACGGAGAAAGCUUUAUGCGCCAUUGGAUGAGCCUGCACUUGAUUAGUUUGUUGGUGGGGUAAUGGCCUACCAAGACAAUGAUCAAUAGCUGAUUUGAGAGGAUGAUCAGCCACAUUGGGACUGAGACACGGCCCAAACUCCUACGGGAGGCAGCAGUAGGGAAUCUUGCACAAUGGGGGAAACCCUGAUGCAGCGAUGCCGCGUGAGUGAAGAAGGCCUUUGGGUUGUAAAGCUCUUUCGUCGGGGAAGAAAAUGACUGUACCCGAAUAAGAAGGUCCGGCUAACUUCGUGCCAGCAGCCGCGGUAAUACGAAGGGACCUAGCGUAGUUCGGAAUUACUGGGCUUAAAGAGUUCGUAGGUGGUUAAAAAAGUUGGUGGUGAAAUCCCAGAGCUUAACUCUGGAACUGCCAUCAAAACUUUUUAGCUAGAGUAUGAUAGAGGAAAGCAGAAUUUCUAGUGUAGAGGUGAAAUUCGUAGAUAUUAGAAAGAAUACCAAUUGCGAAGGCAGCUUUCUGGAUCAUUACUGACACUGAGGAACGAAAGCAUGGGUAGCGAAGAGGAUUAGAUACCCUCGUAGUCCAUGCCGUAAACGAUGUGUGUUAGACGUUGGAAAUUUAUUUUCAGUGUCGCAGCGAAAGCAAUAAACACACCGCCUGGGGAGUACGACCGCAAGGUUAAAACUCAAAUGAAUUGACGGGGACCCGCACAAGUAGUGGAGCAUGUGGUUUAAUUCGAAGAUACGCGCAGAACCUUACCAACACUUGACAUGUUCGUCGCGACUUUAAGAGAUUAAAGUUUUCGGUUCGGCCGGACGAAACACAGGUGCUGCAUGGCUGUCGUCAGCUCGUGUCGUGAGAUGUUGGGUUAAGUCCCGCAACGAGCGCAACCCUUACUUUUAGUUGCCAUCAUUUAGUUGGGCACUCUGAAAGAACUGCCAGUGAUAAGCUGGAGGAAGGUGGGGAUGACGUCAAGUCCUCAUGGCCCUUACGUGUUGGGCUACACACGUGCUACAAUGGCAUUUACAAUAGGAAGCAAGACGGCGACGUUAAGCAAAUCCUAAAAAAAUGCCUCAGUUCGGAUUGUACUCUGCAACUCGAGUACAUGAAGCUGGAAUUACUAGUAAUCGCGGAUCAGCGCGCCGCGGUGAAUACGUUCCCGGGUCUUGUACACACCGCCCGUCACACCAUGGGAGUUGGUUCUACCUUAAGGCAAAGGUUAAAAACUUUGACCACGGUAUAGUCAGCGACUGGGGUGAAGUCGUAACAAGGUAGCCGUA